AGGAUGAACGCUGGCGGCGUGCCUAACACAUGCAAGUCGAACGUCCUGUCUCGCAAGAGGCAGGGAGUGGCGGACGGGUGAGUACCACGUGGGUCAUCUACCGUGAGGUGAGGAAUACCGGCGAGAAAUCGCCGACAAGACCGCAUAGGCUCGAUGCAAGUCGAGCAAAGCUCUUUCGAGAGAGGGAGCGCCACACGAGGAGCCUGCGCCCGAUUAGCUAGCUGGUGGAGUAACGGUUCACCAGGGCGACGAUCGGUAGCUGGUCUGAGAGGACGAUCAGCCACACUGGGAUUGAGAACGGCCCAGACUCCUACGGGGGGCAGCAGUGAGGAAUUUUCGUCAAUGGGGGCAACCCUGAACGAGCAACGCCGCGUGCAGGAAGAAGGUUUUCGGAUCGUAAACUGCUUUUCUCGGGGAAGAGAACGGACGGUACCCGAGGAAUCAGCCCCGGCUACUACGCGCCAGCAGCCGCGGU
rnacentral:rRNA from 1 species